GCACGUUCAAUGCUUCGAUUAGCAACCCUUUUUAUUAUCAAGGUCGAAAAGCAAUCAUUAAAUGCGUACGCGUGCCACGCGCGUUUCAUGAAUGUUUCUGAUAAUGACUAGAGAAAAAAAGAGUGGCGUCAGCGCUUGCUGCAUGGCUUAUGCAUCAGCUCAAAUAUUAAUUCAACCUCGCUUUUUGAUUCUGUAUUACCUAAUUUAUAACGCGAUCAGUUGCUGUAAAUAAACUAAUAUAAACAAGUGUACCCGUGCAGUCGGCUCGUUAUUCGCAACAGAGAUAGUAAGAGUACCAUUCAAAACAUAGUAAAUUAAUCAGCACAACGAUUAAAAUUUGUUAUAAAUUGGACCAUCUGAAGUAUUUUAAAAGAAGCCUUGAGUUACAUCAAAAAUCUUACUUUUACCCUACCAUAACAACCUUUUCACGAUUCUCACAAAUCUCAAAUAUUAAUUCACCCUGCUCAUCAAAUUCCAUGCAUAUCGACGGCACAAAUCUCAUAACGAACGAAGGCAACACCAUCUCACUAGUUCAGCUUUUAGUCUUCAACAUCAUUCAGCAUGAAGCAGAUCACUGUCUUAUCGCUCACCGUGUGCGUUGUUCUGUUCCUUACUUACACUCAUGGCAUGGAAUCUGCAUCUACGAGUCACGGUACAAGUGCUCAUCGCUCUCGGCGAGAAAUUUCGGAAGGAACGACACCUUCAACAAGCCUAGUGGAUCACAACAUAUUUAGUGCUCCAAAUAAAUGCCCAGAAGGAUGUAAACCCAAUCAUAAAAAAGAGUGCGUACGCAUAGGCUCUAAGGAUACGUCUGAUAAAUGUUAAAAAUCUGUCAUGAAGAGAAUUUAAUAGUUUCUUAAAAUAAAAAAAUGGAUACGA